AGUUGGGAGGUUGCCUUGUAAUCGGAAGGUUGCCGAUUCGAGCCCCGGCUUGAACAGUCUCGGUCGUUGUGUCCUUGGGCAAAACACUUCACCCGUUGCCUACUGGUGGUGGUCAGAGGGCCCGGUGCCACCAGUGUCGGCAGCCUCGUCUCUGUCAGUGCGCCCCAGGGUGGCUGUGACUACAAUGUAGCUUACCAUCACCAGUGUGUGAGUGUGUGUGAAUGGUUGGAUGACUGGAUGUGUAAAGCGCUAUACAAAUACAGGCCAUUUACCAUCAAAUAAAUAUCCAUGUAGAAUUGUUCAAAGUGACCAUUAUGUUCAUAGAUGUUAAAAAUACCUGAAAAUAAAAUGAGUUCAGUGACAGUUAGUGUUUGUUGUAAUCAAUUUAUUAAUAACAAAACACUUUUAAACUAAUGCAACACAUAUAACAAUGUCACAAAAUAUUCAAAUAAAUACAUUUCUUAAUGCAUAACCAGAUCAAGUGGAGCUGAUUCUUGAACAGCCUCAAGUCAGAGCUGGAUUGACCUUCUGUCACCAGGUACUGAUGAGCCCGCUGUGGAAAAACAUCACUGAUGAUGUUCAUGAAUCCCCAGCUGACUCUGAUGGAGUCAGAAGACAACAGUCACCUGAAGGGGCUGAAAAUUGUAAAGACCCUACAGAACAAUCAGUAAAUGUGAGUAAAUCUGUGAUUCUGCGAGUAACACACUGGGUUCAGUUUGGAGGUUGAACUCUCACUCACCAGGCCGACAGCCGUCUGUGCCACAGUUAAACUCAUGCAGUGCUAAUUUAAAAACUCUCAAAUAUUUUGGACAAUUUAUAUUUUUCUAUCACAAUAAAUACAAGUCUUCAAGUAAACACACAGAGCAGUAGUGGAUCUUUUUUUUUUAAAUAUUAUUUUUCUUUAUUUUGAUUAGAGAAAAUAAACAAUCCAGCUAACAAAUUUUGUGCUCUCUACUACCAGAACCCACCAAAUUGUAUCUCAGCCCAGCCCGAUGGGCCGAUGGGCUGGGCUGAGAUGGAUUUUGGUAGCCCGACUGGAGAAAUCGCUAGCCCCGGGACGUCGGGCUAGCGAUUUUGCGAGCCCUCACUUGAAUUUUUGAAUUUCAGUUUAAGGCAAUUAAAUUCAAUCCAAAAAUUCAACCCCAACAAUCAAGUGAUCCCCUGUGAGCAACAGUGGACAGGAAAAACUCCCUUUUAACAGGAAGAAACCUGUGACAGAACCAGGCUCAGGGAGGGGCAGUCUUCUGUCAUGACUGGUUGGGAGGUGAGGGCAAAAUCAAAUUGAACAUAAAUGAGAGCACAGUAUAUUAUGACAGAUUGGCGGACCGUGGCUGGAAAACAUUAUUACUAUUACUAGAAGAAUUACCGGAAGAAAUUUAGAAAAGGAGCAAUUCUUACAAUAUAUCGGAAGAAACGAGCAAUUCUUCCAAUAUAUCGGAAGAAAUUUAGAAAAGGAGCAAUUCUUCCAAUAUCUUGGAAUAAUUGCUGAAGGAACCGCUUAAUAAUCCAAUCUGGUAUGCCGUAUGAUUUCAAAUAUGUGAAGGCGGCCAGGUAAACUGCACCAAAAAUACCGCCCGUUAUGGCAACACCUAGAACUGCGUUACGUGCGAGGUUGGCAACAGCACUCUGUGGUACUUCCUCUUUGAUUUCACGCCUCAUUUUCGCACGCUCUUCCCUUUCUUCAUUCAUCUCCCUUUCAAGGUUGUCCAUCCGAGUAAUGAGCAUUCUGUUUUGCUCCUGGAGAGCCUCUAAACGCUGAGCUAUGCUCUCCAUUAACACCCUAAUCCUUUGGACCUCCUCCAGAAACUCAUCCAAUCUGGCUUCAAGACGGCCCCAAUCACCAGCCUGAGCCCCGUGAGGAUGCAAUUCCUCUGCAUCAUCUCCGUCAGAAGAUGAAUCACCUGAUGAUUCGUCUGACAUCUUUUUAAAACGUUAAGGGACAGUGUCAAAAGAAAAAAAAUGUUGCCUGAAUUAUUUAAAUGUAAAAGUAUUAGCUUUGUCAAAGAUUCCUGCUUUGCAAAACCAACUCGCUGUUACUGAAGACGCACCAAGGUAAACUGUGUUAAAGCACCGCUAUUUAUGGACUCAUGUGGCAGAGAUGGUGACGUCGACCGUCACGUCACAGUCUCCCCUUUGAGAUAAUCAAAGGACUUUGGAGCGUGAUGUCACGGGGGUGGGCGUGGAAAGGAUUUUGGCCCGAUCCGCCAUUUUGGGGGUCUAAACAAAGCGCAAGGGAAAAAGGAGCGAAGGCACACAACAGCCAUGGUUCAUAUUUGCUGUGUGGUCGGCUGUAAUGUUCGAUCGCACGACCAGCAAGAGAAUAAGCUUGAAAAGGGUUUGUCUUUUCAUUCUUUCCCAACCUGGAAGCAACAUGAGCCAGCUCGUGUAUCGAUGUUACCAAACUAAGGUGUCUAGCCUGGAUAGCAGCUGUGAGACGAGCUGAUAUCCAGUUCUCUUCCAUCUCCAAAUAUCUGUUGGCAUGCUCCAGACAUUUUCAUUCCG